GAACAUUUAUGUGGAAGAACAGGAGCCAAGUAAGAAACGGAAAAACAAAUCCACCUUCAAGUCUGUUUUCACUCACAACCAGCUCUGCUCACAGGGGAGAUUAAUCAGCAGGGCAUCGGCCAGCAUAAAUAGCACACGCAGCCAAGUCACUCCCACGCAAUUAAUUAAGGGAAUCUCCUCCCAAAACUCCCCACGUCUUCUUGUUUUGCUUCCUCUUUGCCUUGAUAUUUGACUCAGCCAGUAGGUUUCUGUUUUUGUUACAGCUGGUUUAAGAAGAAGGCUGCUCAUUAAAGGGAUUUUUGGUUUUUAAUGUUUUUACUCUUUCUCUCUUUUCCAUAUUGUGGAAUUAUGUUUUUAUUUCUAUUAUAAAAUAAUGAAUUAUCUUUGUUCAUGCCACACCAUACUGUGUUCAAUAGUGAAAUUAAACGACUGUACUCGGCUGCCA